AUUGAACGCUGGCGGCAGGCCUAACACAUGCAAGUCGAGCGGAUGAAGGGAGCUUGCUCCUGGAUUCAGCGGCGGACGGGUGAGUAAUGCCUAGGAAUCUGCCUGGUAGUGGGGGAUAACGUCCGGAAACGGGCGCUAAUACCGCAUACGUCCUGAGGGAGCAAGUGGGGGAUCUUCGGACCUCACGCUAUCAGAUGAGCCUAGGUCGGAUUAGCUAGUUGGUGGGGUAAAGGCCUACCAAGGCGACGAUCCGUAACUGGUCUGAGAGGAUGAUCAGUCACACUGGAACUGAGACACGGUCCAGACUACUACGAGAGGCAGCAGUGGGGAAUAUUGGACAAUGGGCGAAAGCCUGAUCCAGCCAUGCCGCGUGUGUGAAGAAGGUCUUCGGAUUGUAAAGCACUUUAAGUUGGGAGAAAGGGCAGUAAGUUAAUACCUUGCUGUUUUGACGUUACCAACAGAAUAAGCACCGGCUAACUUCGUG
rnacentral:rRNA from 1 species